UCUAUUGGCAGAUCACUGCAUUAGAAUUAGAAUCUAAUCACCCCAU
rnacentral:tRNA from 1 species